rnacentral:tRNA from 1 species
AUGCUGUAAAUAUAGUUUAAACAAAACCCUAGAUUGUGAAUCUAGCAAUAGAGACUCAUGACCCUCUUAU